AUUGAACGCUGGCGGCAUGCCUUACACAUGCAAGUCGAACGGUAACAGGUCUUCGGAUGCUGACGAGUGGCGAACGGGUGAGUAAUACAUCGGAACGUGCCCGAUCGUGGGGGAUAACGAGGCGAAAGCUUUGCUAAUACCGCAUCCGAUCUACGGAUGAAAGCGGGGGAUCUUCGGACCUCGCGCGGACGGAGCGGCCGAUGGCAGAUUAGGUAGUUGGUGGGAUAAAAGCUUACCAAGCCGACGAUCUGUAGCUGGUCUGAGAGGAUGAUCAGCCACACUGGGACUGAGACACGGCCCAGACUCCUACGGGAGGCAGCAGUGGGGAAUUUUGGACAAUGGGCGAAAGCCUGAUCCAGCCAUGCCGCGUGCAGGAUGAAGGCCUUCGGGUUGUAAACUGCUUUUGUACGGAACGAAAAGCCUCUUUCUAAUAAAGAGGGGUCAUGACGGUACCGUAAGAAUAAGCACCGGCUAACUACGUG
rnacentral:rRNA from 1 species